AAAAAAAAAAACAAAUAAAGGACAAAUAUUGUAUACUUCUAUUUACGUGAAGUACCUAGAAUAGGCAGACUCGUAGAGACAGAAGGUUGAUUGGAGGUUCCCAGGAACUGGAGGUAUGAGGGAAGGGAACGUUAUUGUCCGUCGUGCAGAGUUAUGACGAGGACGAUGACAGGUUAUGGGUAUAGAGAGCGACGAUGGGCACGCGGCAUGUGAACGACGUAAUGACAUCCCUGAACUGUGUGCACUUGCAAGCGGUUGUGAUGCCAAGUGUCGUCACACAGUCCACAGACCGUCGUGCAGGGAGAUUCUGAACGCGCCGCGUCAGGUCUCGACGGACUGUGAGGCCGCGACCCCGGAGCGCUCACCGCGUUUUCCAGUCAGUAGUUUCGAGAGGCGUCGCUGGUUUCUCUCACGAACGAACGGGACCCGCGCCACAGAAUUCCCAGCCCGCGCCCGCCCUCGGGAGCGCGCGCCGGGGCGACGGGAGGACGGACGCCGCGCCGCGGCUGACAGGGUCGCCGCUCUCCUCAGACGCGCGGCGCCCGGCGGCGCCACCAGGGGGACGUCGAGGCGGCGCGAGUCUCCGCCCCCGAGACCGCCCGGCAAGGUCGCUGGGCCGGUCGUGACCCGCGACCAACAUUUGAUAAAUGAGCAAGAAAAUCCGGAAGACGCGGCGGAGGAAACAGAGCACGGAAGGCGUCCCGCUUCCUCCAGCGACCUCAGUGCCGGAGCGCGGGUCUCCGUUCCGAGGAGGGCGGCUCCGACGACGCCGACACUGCAAGCCGAGAGGAUGACUGAACCGUGGCAUCACUCUGGCUUACCACGAAACUCGGCGGCAGCCAGGGGACAGAGUCGGGCGCUGUCAGCAGCAGCAGCAGCAGGUGUGCUGGGACAGUCGUGCAGCAGCCAUAGCUGUCCACACCUCAGGCUCCAGCACUGUCCCGAGGUUGGUUCCCCAGGUCAUCUGCGCUCAUCUGACCUGAGAGUGGCUGCCGGGGAGCAUUCGGAGCCCUUGGGAGGACCCCACACACGAGGGAGCAGCUAUAAGUGUUUUCUGCACGGAGCCCUGACGGACGCACUCAGGCCAGCUCUGCUCCCCACCACUUUCACCUCGGGACACGGCAUCCCUCGUUUCAAUCAGGUAACAGAUGAAGCAGCAAAUGCAGGAGUGGCUACCACGUGUGGGGCUUGAAGACAGGGAGGAGGGAAGAACCAAGGACUCAGAAGAGCUGCCAGUUGAGCACCACGCCCAGCCGAGGUUGACGCCCUCUACCACUGCUCUUCUCUUCUGGAAGAUGAGCAUGGGCUAGAGGUGGAACAUCUGUCUUGCAACCGUAAGGACCAAGGAUGGAAAUAAGAAGCCUGUUCUCUAAAGGCUUCAGGGAGCCGGAUGUCAGGCUGGGUACUUACUUCCAGAUGUCUUUUACCUGAGUCCAGGAAAAUACUCCCAGGUAUUUAAUCAAUUAGUUGGAGGUGGUGUUUGUUUGUUUGUAGGGGAGGCUGAUACUCAUUGCCAAAUGUAAUUUCUAACUGAUACAUAUAGAAAAUUGUCUAUUAAAUUGUUUUACUUCUUAGAUUCAUUAUAUAAUGUUUUGCUGAAAAAUAACCCAUUUCGUCCAGGUUUUUUUUGUUUUUUUUUUUUUGAGACAGAGUCUCGCUUUGUUGCCCAGGCUAGCGUGAGUGCC